AAACAACCCUAUGCGGUGGAUCACUUGGCUCGCGAGUCGAUGAAGAGCGCAGCAAACUGCGUGAAUUAAUGUGAUUUGCAGGACACAUUGAUCAUCGAUAUCUUGAACGCAUAUUGCGGUUAUGGAUCGCUUCCGUGACCACGCCUGUCUGAGGGUCGGUAUUAAUAUGUAAAU
rnacentral:rRNA from 1 species